UAGUCCACGCCGUAAACGAUGGGUGCUAGGUGUCGCGGGAAUUGACCCCUGCGGUGCCGUAGCUAACGCAUUAAGCACCCCGCCUGGGGAGUACGGCCGCAAGGCUAAAACUCAAAGGAAUUGACGGGGCCCGCACAAGCGGUGGAGCAUGUGGUUUAAUUCGAUGCAACGCGAAGAACCUUACCUGGGCUAGAAAACACGUGAAUCUGGCGGAAACGUCGGGGUGCUCUUCGGAGAACGCGUGGUUAGGUGCUGCAUGGCUGUCGUCAGCUCGUGUCGUGAGAUGUUGGGUUAAGUCCCGCAACGAGCGCAACCCUUGUCGUUAGUUACCAGCGAGUCAUGUCGGGAACUCUAACGAGACUGCCGAUAUUAAAAUCGGAGGAAGGUGGGGAUGACGUCAAGUCAUCAUGGGCCCCUAUGUCCAGGGGCUACACACGUGCUACAAUGGGUCGGUACAAAGGGGUUGCCAGCUAGCAAUAGUGAGCUAAU
rnacentral:rRNA from 1 species